rnacentral:rRNA from 1 species
UGGUGGAGCGAUUUGUCUGGUUAAUUCCGAUAACGAACGAGACUCUGGCCUAUUAAAUAGUUCGCCGAUUCCGAUCUGUCGGCGUUAACUUCUUAGAGGGACAAGUGGCUUUUUGCCACGCGAGAUUGAGCAAUAACA